UGAGUAACGCGUGGGUAACCUACCCCAAAGUCCGGGAUAACAGCGGGAAACCGCUGCUAAUACCGGAUGCCUUUACCUUGAGGCAUCUUGAGGUAAAGAAAGGUAACGCUUUGGGAUGGGCCCGCGUCCCAUUAGCUAGUUGGUGAGGUAACGGCUCACCAAGGCGACGAUGGGUAGCCGGCCUGAGAGGGUGGACGGCCACACUGGGACUGAGACACGGCCCAGACUCCUACGGGAGGCAGCAGUAGGGAAUAUUGCGCAAUGGACGGAAGUCUGACGCAGCGACGCCGCGUGAGCGAUGAAGGUCUUCGGAUCGUAAAGCUCUGUCCUUGGGGAAGAAGGCGAAAGCUUGACGGUACCCAAGAAGAAAGCCCCGGCUAACUACGUGCCAGCAGCCGCGGUAAUACGUAGGGGGCGAGCGUUGUCCGGAAUUACUGGGCGUAAAGGGUGCGUAGGCGGCCCUUUAAGUCGGAUGUGAA
rnacentral:rRNA from 1 species